rnacentral:rRNA from 1 species
UACGUAGGGUGCAAGCGUUAAUCGGAAUUACUGGGCGUAAAGCGUGCGCAGGCGGUUUUGUAAGUCAGAUGUGAAAUCCCCCGGGCUUAACCUGGGAACUGCGUUUGAAACUACAAGGCUAGAGUGUGGCAGAGGGGGGGUGGAAUUCCGACGUGUAGCAGUGAAAUGCGUAGAGAUGUGGAGGAACACCGAUGGCGAAGGCAGCCCCCUGGGUCAAGAUUGACGCUCAUGCACGAAAGCGUGGGGAGCAAACAGG